AGAGGGUGCAAGCGUUAAUCGGAAUUACUGGGCGUAAAGCGCGCGUAGGCGGCUUGACAAGUCGAGUGUGAAAUCCCCGGGCUUAACCUGGGACCUGCAUUCGAAACUGUCUUGCUAGAGUAUGGGAGAGGGAAGUGGAAUUUCAGGUGUAGCGGUGAAAUGCGUAGAUAUCUGAAGGAACAUCAGUGGCGAAAGCGACUUCCUGGACCAAUACUGACGCUCAGGUGCGAAAGCGUGGGGAGCAAACAAGAUUAGAUACCCUGGUAGUCCACGCCAUAAACGAUGACAACUAGAUGUUGGGAGGGUUAGCCUCUCGGUGUCGUAGCUAACGCGUUAAGUUGUCCGCCUGGGGAGUACGGCCGCAAGGUUG
rnacentral:rRNA from 1 species